UACGUAGGGUGCGAGCGUUGUCCGGAAUUAUUGGGCGUAAAGGGCUCGUAGGCGGUUUGUCGCGUCGGGAGUGAAAACCAUGGGCUUAACUCAUGGCUUGCUUCCGAUACGGGCAGACUAGAGGUAUGCAGGGGAGAACGGAAUUCCUGGUGUAGCGGUGAAAUGCGCAGAUAUCAGGAGGAACACCGGUGGCGAAGGCGGGUCUCUGGGCCGAUAUUGACGCUGAGGAGCGAAAGCGUGGGGAGCGAACAGG
rnacentral:rRNA from 1 species